rnacentral:rRNA from 1 species
UCCUGGCGACCAUAGCGGUUUGGAACCACCUGACUCCAUCUCGAACUCAGAAGUGAAACGAACCCGCGCCAAUGAUAGUGUGAGGUUUCCUC